CGAAAGCCUGACGGAGCAAUACCGCGUGAGGGAGGAAGGCUCUUGGGUUGUAAACCUCUUUUCUCAAGGAAUAAGAUCUGAAGGUACUUGAGGAAUAAGCAUCGGCUAACUCCGUGCCAGCAGCCGCGGUAAUACGGAGGAUGCAAGCGUUAUCCGGAAUGAUUGGGCGUAAAGGGUCCGCAGGUGGCAGUGUAAGUCUGCUGUCAAAGAAUGAGGCUUAACCUUAUCAAGGCAGUGGAAACUGGAUAGCUAGAGUAUGGUAGGGGCAGAGGGAAUUCCUGGUGUAGCGGUGAAAUGCGUAGAUAUCAGGAAGAACACCGGUGGCGAAAGCGCUCUGCUGGGCCGUAACUGACACUCAUGGACGAAAGCUAGGGGAGCG
rnacentral:rRNA from 1 species